ACCACUCCCUUAUUUGUGAUGAAACACUGAGAGAACUUGUGCAGAGGCUGUAGAUAACUUCAUGAGCACAAGGCCAUUUUAUGUUCAGAAAAUGUCCGAACUUAUGAAUGUCCUCAUCUUCCAUCAGAGUCAGGAUGGGAUUCGGAGGCAUGUAAGUUGAACCAGUCAUUAUCCUUCAUUACAAAAACAUGUUUCCAGCCGCAGACUGUACUGGCUUCAGUGACUUUACUAGCACUGUCAGUUUGGAGCAUGUAGGUGCUGCCAAAGGACCUUUUGAGAACAGUUCUGUCUCGGUUGUUUGCUUAUCUGCUGCCAUGGAAACAGCUCAAUACCUUUUGCAUAUUUUUCUACAAGAUGAUCCUGGAAAGGCACCAUUUGGCAAGGCAGAGGGAAGGCACAUGCUAAGCUGUCGGUGGGUGUGGCCUAAGUAGUUAGUUGACAACCUAAUGUGACUGACCUAGUAUCUAUUGAGAGCAGAGAUGUGGCUUGUUCAGCCCUGGACAGUCUAGUAACUUUGAUAAGAAGAAGUGUAUUCUUGAGUUUGGCCUUGUGUGUGAGGACAAGAGUGGG
rnacentral:lncRNA from 1 species